GGAUGACUGAGAUGUGCGCCGGAUACGUAUUGUGUGGACCGAACACCAACUUUUAGGGGUCCUAGGAUUCGGAGUCUGAAGAUAAGCCAAUGAACACUUGGAAAUCUAAUGAUUCUGAUGUGGAGCCCACCUGUUAUAUUAGCAGGUUCAAAACAUAUGUAUCAUUAAACGGCAUCAUCGGCUACCCU
rnacentral:other from 1 species